CAAGGAGGAAAGAAAAUAUAUGAAAAUGUAUGAUCAAAUUUCAUGAAAAAUUAAAAUUUCCAGCCUAAAUGGAUGUCUUCAGAGAGCCUGAAAAAAACUACUGCAUCUCUGAACCACAGCUUGUGAGCAGGAUGAGAGAGCAGAAGAAUUCAUCCAACAUCUAUUUCUCCUGGUAUAAGUUCACUGACAGGACCCACUGUUUGUAUAUCACAGCUUGCCAGUAGUGCUGGUUCAGCCACUAUUUGGAGUGAACAGGGGAAAGAAACUAAGGUUAAGCUGUGAGAAAGUGUCCCAAGACUACUUCUGAAUUCUGCUACUCCUGUAAUCUGUUCUAGUGGCUUGGCACAUAUCCA
rnacentral:lncRNA from 1 species